UACGUAGGUGGCAAGCGUUGUCCGGAUUGAUUGGGUUUAAAGGGUGCGUAGGCGGCCCUGUAAGUCAGUGCUGAAAUAUCCCAGCUUAACUGGGAGGGUGGCAUUGAUACUGCGGGGCUAGAGUACAGAUGAGGUAGGCGGAAUUGACGGUGUAGCGGUGAAAUGCUUAGAUAUCGUCAAGAACACCUAUAGCGAAGGCAGCUUACUAGGCUGUAACUGACGCUGAGGCACGAAAGUGUGGGGAUCAAACAGG
rnacentral:rRNA from 1 species